AGAGAGUCAAUCAGCACCCACGGAUUGAGAGAGUCAAUCAUCAUCUAUCCAACAUCAUCUAUCCAUCUUCCAUCAUCAAACAUCUAUCCAUAAACCAUUCCAUCCCUUUUAUCUUUUAGUUUCUGUGAUUAUUUUCAUUACUCAUAAACUCAUUGUUUCUCUUUGUUUUCAGGUUAGUUUGAAUAGAAAGGGCUAGCAAGUCGGCCAUCUUCACCAUCUUCCCAACCGGUCUCAUCCUUACCGAUAAGAUCGACCCAUCGCCCAUCCAUUUCAUCGACCCAGCUUCCCAGUCUGCAACAGGAUCGUAGAAGACACUUUCAUAAACAUUACUUAGACACAUCUUGUUCUUCUUAAGAUCAAAAACUGCCCCCACAGUAACCAUGAAGGAUCUUCCAAAAAGAAGAGAAGAUGUCUUGCAUGAUCCGAUCUCCAUGACAU
rnacentral:lncRNA from 1 species